AGGCGCGGCAAACGGCUCAGUAACACGUGGCCAACCUACCCUUGGGACGGAGACAACCCCGGGAAACUGGGGCUAAUCCCCGAUAGGUGAGGAAUCCUGGAAUGGACCCUCGCCCAAAAGACGUUGAGUCCAUGCUAUUCAGCGUCGCCCAAGGAUGGAGCCGCGACCGAUCAGGUAGUUGGUGAGGCAACGGCUCACCAAGCCUAUAACCGGUACGGGCCGUGAGAGCGGGAGCCCGGAGAUGGGCACUGAGACAAGGGCCCAGGCCCUACGGGGCGCAGCAGUUGCGAAAACUCCGCAAUGCACGAAAGUGUGACGGGGCUACCCCGAGUGCCGUCCGCUGAGGAUGGCUUUUCUCCGCUGUAAGGAGGCGGAGGAAUAAGGAGAGGGCAAGACUGGUGUCAGCCGCCGCGGUAAUACCAGCUCUCCGAGUGGUAGGGGUGAUUAUUGGGCUUAAAGCGUCCGUAGCCGGCCUGGCAAGUCUUCCGUUAAAUCCAGCAACCUAAUUGUUGGGCUGCGGGGGAUACUGUUAGGCUAGGGGGCGGGAGAGGCCGACGGUAUUCUCGGGGUAGGGGUGAAAUCUUAUAAUCCCGAGAGGACCACCAGUGGCGAAGGCUGUCGGCUAGCACGCGCCUGACGGUGAGGGACGAAAGCUGGGGGAGCGAACCGGAUUAGAUACCCGGGUAGUCCCUGCUGUAAACGAUGCGAGCUA
rnacentral:rRNA from 1 species